UACGGGGGGGGCAAGCGUUGUUCGGAAUUACUGGGCGUAAAGGGCUCGUAGGCGGCCAACUAAGUCAGACGUGAAAUCCCUCGGCUCAACCGAGGAACGGCGCUUGAUACUGCAUGGCUUGAGGGAGACAGGGGUAAGCGGAACUGAUGGUGGAGCGGUGAAAUGCGUUGAUAUCAUCAGGAACACCGGUGGCGAAAGCGGCUUACUGGGUCUCUUCUGACGCUGAGGAACGAGAGCUAGGGUAGCGAACGGG
rnacentral:rRNA from 1 species